AAAUAAGUGUUUAGCUAGUCCUCGCAGGCAAUGAAUACAAGUAAACUUUCUUUCGUAAAGCGCCUUUCUACAAAGAAACUUGACUGAAUUCUUCUCGUUUAUACGUUCACACACGAACUAGUAUACUUUGGAAACAGGUGCUGGGGGUGCUCUUUACUCUGGUCCGAUACGUCCAAGCCGUCCGGUUUCUCCAACGGGCGCUGAGGAGGCAAGACCACACAAGAGCACAACUGGACAAAAGCAAAAAAAACACACAAAGCCUCCAGAUCUUUUCUUCUCAUUAAAUUCAGAACAUCUGGCGAGAGGCCCAGCUGUGCUCAUGAGCUGGAAAAGUACUAAGCUGGUCGGCGAAGAAAGGACACGGACUUUACAGAGGAUGACUCAUUGUAAACAAGAUGGAACGCAUGUUCCCUUUGGCCAGCCUGCGGAACAUCAGCAACGUCACCGUGCGCUGCCAGCCGGUAAACAAGCGCUGGUGAGCGUCGCGUCGGCACAAUGCAGCAAAGCGACAAACCCAGCUGCAACGCUGGAAAUGCGAUGUGAAUGUUAAUAUGACGCCCGCGGAGCUCCACUUCCCUUCGCUUCCUCUCGUCUCAAAGACUUUUGGAUCAUGUGAGCCUCACUCUUUGUCGUUUGUCCUCCGGUUGCCUCUUGUUGCUUCUUAACUUCUGACCCACAAAGAACAAAGAAUUUGAUCCAGACUUCACUAAUGUGUCCUCUUACCCCGUAUGACUGCCGAAUGCUGCAGGUGCUUUGUUCCCGACCUUGAUACUUUACUAAGGUCACACACCUGACUAAUC